CGUAGGCGCAAGCGUUGUCCGGAAUCAUUGGGCGUAAGAACUCGUAGGCGGUCUGUCGCGUCUGUCGUGAAGCCCACGGCUUAACCGUGGUCUGCGGUGGAUACGGGCAGACUAGAGGCAGGUAGGGAGAACGGAAUUCCCGGUGUAGCGGUGAAAUGCGCAGAUAUCGGGAGGAACACCGGUGGCGAAGGCGGUUCUCUGGGCCUGUACUGACGCUGAGGAGCGAAAGCGUGGGAGCGAACAGGAUU
rnacentral:rRNA from 1 species